AGAGUUUGAUUAUGGCUCAGGAUGAACGCUAGCGGCAGGCCUAAUACAUGCAAGUCGAACGGGAUCGGGCCCCUUCGGGGGCCCUGAGAGUGGCGCACGGGGUGCGCAACGCGUAUGCAACCAACCCCCGACAGGCGGAUAGCCGGUGGAAACGCCGGAUAAUACGCCAUGGUUCCGUGGGAGGGCAUCCUCCUGAGGAUAAAGCCGAGAGGCGGUCGGGGACGGGCAUGCGUCCCAUUAGAUGGUAGGCGGGGUGACGGCCCACCUAGUCCACGAUGGGUAGGGGAUCUGAGAGGACGGUCCCCCCACACUGGUACUGAGACACGGACCAGACUCCUGCGGGAGGCAGCAGUAAGGGAUAUUGGUCAAUGGGGCGGAAGCCUGAACCAACGCCAUGCCGCGUGAGGGAAUGAGGCCCUACGGGUCGUGAACCUCUUUUAUUCGGGGACAAGGACGCGGUCGGGAACCGUGUUUGAGGGUACCGAAGGAAUAAGCGUCGGCUAACUCCGUGCCAGCCGCCGC
rnacentral:rRNA from 1 species